rnacentral:rRNA from 1 species
UGGGCAACCUGCCCCAGACUCUGGGAUAACUCCGGGAAACCGGGGCUAAUACCGGAUACUCCGAUCGGACGACAUCGUCUGACCGGGAAAGCUCCGACGGUCUGGGAUGGGCCCGCGGCCUAUCAGCUUGUUGGCGAGGUAACGGCUCACCAAGGCGACGACGGGUAGCUGGUCUGAGAGGACGACCAGCCACACUGGAACUGAGAUACGGUCCAGACUCCGUACGGGA